rnacentral:tRNA from 1 species
AGGCCGGUAGCUCCAACUGGUAGAGCAGCUGAUUCCAAAUCAGCGGGUUGGGGGUUCGAAUCCCUCCCGGCCUGCCA